AUACGUAGGGGGCGAGCGUUGUCCGGAAUGAUUGGGCGUAAAGGGCGCGUAGGCGGCCCGGUAAGUCUGGAGUGAAAGUCCUGUUUUUAAGAUGGGAAUUGCUUUGGAUACUGUCGGGCUUGAGUGCAGGAGAGGUAAGUGGAAUUCCCAGUGUAGCGGUGAAAUGCGUAGAGAUCGGGAGGAACACCAGUGGCGAAGGCGGGUAACUGGACUGCAACUGACGCUGAGGCGCGAAAGUGUGGGGAGCAAACAGGAUUAGAUACCCUGGUAGUCCACACUGUAAACGAUGAAUGCUAGGUGUAAGAGGUAUCGACCCCUUUUGUGCCGGAGUUAACACAAUAAGCAUUCCGCCUGGGGAGUACGGCCGCAAGGUUGAAACUCAAAGGAAUUGACGGGG
rnacentral:rRNA from 1 species